AAUGAAGAAGAGUUAUUCUGAAAAGGUCAAGGAAGUUGACAGAUUACGAAGAGAGGUUGCUGAACUUUCCCAGCAGCUGGACAGGGAAUGUCAAAAGUGCACGCAGCUGGAAGCCAAAAAUCAAGAUUUGCAAGACGAGCUGUCUACCCUGCGUGGGAAGUGCGAGAACCUGGAGAUGGACAAAUGCCAGCUGCAAGAAGAGCUGGCAAAACUCCGGCAUCAUUUGGAGACUGACUUGGUGGAUCGCAGCCAACUGGAACAGUGGAAAAAAGAGGUGGAAGAGCAAGCCGACCGGGAACUCAGACAAAAACUCCAGGAAGUCAAUGAGUUUUUGCAAGCACAGGCAGCCCACCAGGACACAUUAGAAAAAAUCCGAAGCAGUCAUCUGGACUCCCUGAAAAACCAGUUAGAAGAGAGAAUUAGAGAUCUUGACCGUGCACUGGGAAGGAUAAGAAGCAACCAAGCAGAAAGACCUUUUCAAAAAGAAUCCACCCAGGCAGAAGUGGAAAAGUAUAAAGAGCUGUAUGUGGUGGAAGCAAAAAGCAGAAAAAGCCUAGCCAAGAGACUGGAAAGAGCUAAUGAGAGACUUGCAGAGGCCAACACCAAGCUCCUUUGGGAGCGCCACAGAAGCAGAUCUGCAGUCCCAAGCAGUGCCGUCAUCGGACACCUGACUGCAAGUCCACUUCUGGAUUCAACUGGCCUGGGACGUCAUGGCAUCAGUUUGGGACCGAGCAGAAGCCUGGGUCUCAGGCAUCUGUGGUAAAGUGGAAGACUUCUGGUCAUCAGGUUUGUCCAAAUUUUCCAGAGUGGUCCAAGGCCCAAAAAUACGGAACUGGAAGCAAUGAGCUGUGGAACUCCAUUCUUUGACAAGAGAAACCGUGGGAAAGAGCACUGUGGCGCAGGAACCUCCCCCCUAAGUUCUCCACUAAAUUGACACGGAGGGUGUGUGUGACCUAUUUGAAAUGGCUGAUGUCACCGUGAGUGCCAAAUGCCACCAGACAUCUGUGAGACACCUUUUUCUUCAUCAGUAAUCUUCGUUCUAGCAGUUUCUUCCCUGGACCUUGCUUUAAUAUGUUACUCUGGAUAGGAGGCAUUUGCUGGUGUAGUUCCUGCUACGUCUUCCUCCAUGAAACAGCAGAGCUCCCUACUCCUUGGGAAGUCUUCACGGCCUUCUAAUUUUGCAGCAAUGCUGCAAGCUCUGCAAUACCGCUGGUCCGAGUAUGCCCUGUAGUCAGCAGUCAGUGUGAUAGCACAUCCCUGCCAGAAUGCAGAGCAUGAUAGCAGGAGACGUGGAAACCACCCGCCAGGAGUUGUAAUCAGCGGGACAGGCGCGUAGCAUGGGAUUGAGGCAUGGGCAAGCAGGAGGCUUGGAAGCGGAUGAUCUUUAAGGUUGCUGAACUUUCCCAGCAGCUGGAGAGGGAAUGUCAAAAGCGCACGCAGCUGGAAGCCACAAGUCAGGGUUUGCAAGACGAGCUGUCUAGCCUGCGUGGGAAGUGGGAAAACCUGGAGAAGAGCAAAUGCCAGCUGCAAGAAGAGCUGGCAAAGCUCCAGCCUCAUUUGGAGACCAGUGUGGUGGAUGGCAGCCAGAUCAUGGCUAGGCUUGGCCAAUGAAGAUUUGGAAGGGCUCUCCCCACAUUUGCUACAAGCGUGCUGGUGGCUAAAGAGGCC